UGGGGAAUUUUCCGCAAUGGGCGAAAGCCUGACGGAGCAACGCCGCGUGAGUGAAGACGGCCUUCGGGUUGUAAAACUCUGUGAUUCGGGACGAAAGAUAAGUAGACGAAUAAUCUGCAUAAGUGACGGUACCGAAAAAGCAAGCCACGGCUAACUACGUGCCAGCAGCCGCGGUAAUACGUAUGUUGCGAGCGUUAUCCGGAAUUAUUGGGCUUAAAGGGCAUCUAGGCGGUAAGACAAGUUGAAGGUGAAAACCUGUGGCUCAACCAUAGGCUUGCCUACAAAACUGUUGAACUAGAGUACUGGAAAGGUGGGUGGAACUACACGAGUAGAGGUGAAAUUCGUAGAUAUGUGUAGGAAUGCCGAUGAUGAAGAUAACUCACUGGACAGAAACUGACGCUGAAGUGCGAAAGCUAGGGGAGCAAACAGG
rnacentral:rRNA from 1 species